GCCAAUUCGAGUGAUUGUAUCGUUCGCUUGUGGGAUACUUUAGGUCACCGACGGUCACGGUAAACGCACUUGACACUUGGCACGCGCAGCAGUUUGUGUUUAAGCGCAAAUCAGGGAGAAUAACUGUCUUCGUGGGGCAUACAAUCUCGGUACUUAUAUGGAGAAAAAAUAUUUUAAAGCGAGGCAAACAAUGAAACAGAACUGGCAAUGUCUAUAUUCAACGCGUGUGGGUAUGGUGUUCUGGGUGUGUGGAAGGUAGAAGAAAUAUAUCGACCUUUCACGUGAAAAUUGGCGAGACCCAUUUUCGGUGUUAUAAAGAUUCUUAUAUCUAUUCUACCCCCUGUUUGUGUGUUGUUCGAAAUCGAUUUCGAGACUGUCUGGUAAUGGUGAAGGCUAACGUGUUUCUUGUGCGACCGGAUAACGUGUCACGUUAAAUUAAAAAACGUUGGAUCCGGGUACGGGUGGGAGUUUGCGGUUCGGGGGUGCGAUGUAGCCGAGUUCAUCACGAAGAUCGGGCCUGCGUUUGUCAAGAGUAGCUCCGCCAACACCGGUUUGCUGAUAGACCACGUCAUCUGAAAGGACGGCGAACUUCUGGAUCGAUCAUCAGAAAAAUAACAUCUAAAAUGUUAUCCAAGCGGGAAUUAUCCGGCGAACCGUUUUCUUAUUCCACAUAGAGAAAUUAUCUUACUGAUAAUCAUCCAACAGUUCAAUGACUUAGCAAGUUAAAAAAAUAAAAAAAAGGUUGGUAUACAUUGUCCCUCGUAAUAUUUCUCGUCGGCUGAUGAGAUACCUCGCAGCCGCGUUUGUUCCGGACCUCGAGUUCUUCUCGACAGUGCGACGCAAAUCACCAUAAUGCCUACAAUAAUCACUACAACCGUAGCUCCGACCGGCACCACCACGUUUACGUCAAGCCAACUCGGUAACCAGGGGAAAUAACGUCUGACGUCCGUGUUGUCGUUACCUCCGUUGCGUACGGGGGGUGCGAUCGUACCUGUACGUUAAAACAGUAAAAAGA